rnacentral:rRNA from 1 species
CUGACCGUAAACGAUGCCAACUAGCGAUCCGCCGGUGGCCUCAGGCCCUGGUGGGGAGCUUCCCGGAAACGAAAGUCUUCCGGUUCCGGGGGAAGUAUGGUUGCAAAGCUGAAACUUAAAGGAAUUGACGGAAGGGCACCACCAGGAGUGGAGCCUGCGGCUUAAUUUGACUCAACACGGGAAAACUCACCCGGCCCGGACACCGUAAGGAUUGACAGAUUGAUAGCUUUUUCAUGAUUCGGUGGUUGGUGGUGCAUGGCCGUUCUUAGUUCGUGGAUCGAUUUGUCUGGUUUAUUCCGAUAACGAGCGAGACUCCAGCCUACUAAAUAGUGCGGACAUUGCCUCUGUGUUUGUCACUUCUUAGAGGGAUUGGCUGCGUCUAGCGGCACGAAACGGAGCAAUAACAGGUCUGUGAUGCCCUUAGAUGUCCGGGGCUGCACGCGCGCUACACUGGCAAAGGCAGCGUGCUUGUCCGUCUCCGAAAGGAGCCGGUAAACCCUUGAAAAUUUGCCGUGAUUGGGAUCGGAAAUGCAAUUAUUUCCGUGAACGAGGAAUUCCUAGUAAGUGCGAGUCAUCAGCUCGCGUUG